UUCGAUUAACGCGAAGAACCUUACCUACCCUUGACAUAGUAUUGCAUUUAGCAGAGAUGUUGAAGAGCCGCGAGGCCGAUAUUACAGGUGCUGCAUGGCUGUCGUCAGCUCGUGUCGUGAGAUGUUGGGUCAAGUCCCGUAACGAGCGCAACCCUUGUUCUUAGUUACCAGCACGUUAAGGUGGGGACUCUAAGAAGACUGCCGGUGACAAACCGGAGGAAGGCGGGGACGACGUCAAGUCAUCAUGGCCCAUACGGGUAGGGCUACACACGUGCUACAAUGGCCGGUACAGAGGGCAGCGAAGCGGAGACGUGGAGCGAAUCCUAGAAAGCUGGUCGUAGUCCGGAUUGAAGUCUGCAACUCGACUUCAUGAAGUCGGAAUCGCUAGUAAUCGCGAAUCAGCAUGUCGCGGUGAAUACGUUCCCGGGCCUUGUCACACCGAAUCACUA
rnacentral:rRNA from 1 species